rnacentral:rRNA from 1 species
AUUGAACGCUGGCGGCAGGCCUAACACAUGCAAGUCGAACGAGUGGCGGACGGGUGAGUAAUGUCUGGGAAACUGCCCGAUGGAGGGGGAUAACUACGGGAAACAGUAGCUAAUACCGCAUACCAUCUGAUGUGCCCAGUUGGGAUUAGGUAGUUGGGGGGGUAAAGGCUCACCAAGGCGACGAUCCCUAGCUGGUCUGAGAGGAUGACCAGCAACACUGGAACUGAGACACGGCCCAGACUCCUACGGGAGGCAGCAGUGGGGAAUAUUGCCCAAUGGGCGCAAGCCUGACGCAGCCAGGCCGCGUGAAUGAAGAAGGCCUUCGGGUUGUAAAGUACUUUCGGCAGGGAGGCGUUACUUACAGAAGAAGCACCGGCUAACUCCGUGCCAGCAGCCGCGGUAAUAC